rnacentral:rRNA from 1 species
GAUGAACGCUGGCGGCGUGCCUAAUACAUGCAAGUCGAGCGAACGGACGCGAAUCUUGCUUUUCUGAUGUUAGCGGCGGACGUGUGAGUAACACGUGGAUCACCUCCCUAUCAGACUGGGAUAACUUCGGGAAACCGGAGCUAACCCCGUAUAAUAUCUUGAUCCGCAUGGUUCAUAGGUGAAAUACGGCCUUUCUGUCACUUCUCGAUGGAUCCGCGCUGCAUUAGCUAGUUGGUACGGUAACGGCUUACCAAGGCAACGAUGCAUAGCCGAACUGAGAGGGUGAUAGGCGGCACUGGAGCGUGGACACGGACCAGAGGCCUAAGGGAGGGAGCAGUAGGGAAUGGGCCGCAGUAGGCGAAAGCAUGACAGAGCAACGCGACGUGAGUGAUAAAGGUCUUCGGAUCGGAAAAAUCUGUUAUUAGGGGAGAACAGAUGUGUAAGUAAAUGUGGACAGCGUGACGGUACCGAAUCAAAAAGCAACGGCUAACUACGUG